GAAGUCCGCCAGGCAGUCGCGGUACCGCAAGGUAUCGAGGAAAGUCCGGGCCCCGCAGGGCAGAAUGCCGGCUAACGGCCGGGCGCUAUAAGCCGAAAGGCCCAAGGCGACGGAAAGUGCAACAGAGAGCAGACCGCCGAUGGCCCGACGAGACCAGUCAUCAUUCGUCGCGAGCGGUUCGGCGUGGUGUCGAGUCGCGCAGUCGUACGCAAGUACGGUGAGCAACGCAGGCGCCACGACGGAUCGCGCAGCAGAUUGAUGGCUGCGUCGAGGAUCAGGUAAGGGUGAAACGGUGGGGUAAGAGCCCACCGCGGACGUGGUGACACGGACGGCACGGUAAACCCCAUUCGGGGCAAGGCCAAAUAGGGGAGCGUUGAGGCGGCCCGCUGAGCUCCCGGGUAGGCUGCUAGAGCUUCGCAGCAAUGCGUCGACCAGAGGAAUGACUGCCCCGCCAUCGCAAGGUGGCGCGACAGAACCCGGCUUAUCGGCGGACUUCCACU
rnacentral:RNase_P_RNA from 1 species